CAAGUACUCCCUCCGUCCGGAAAUACUUGUCCUAGAAAUGGUUGUAUCUAGACUUAUUUUAGUUAUAGAUACAUCCAUUUUAUCCAUUUCUAGGACAAGUACUUCCAGACGGAGGGAGUACAAU
rfam:Triticum aestivum genome assembly, contig: Triticum_aestivum_CS42_TGACv1_scaffold_622118_7DS